rnacentral:rRNA from 1 species
UUAAGCGACUAAGCGUACACGGUGGAUGCCCUGGCAGUCAGAGGCGAUGAAGGACGUGCUAAUCUGCGAUAAGCGUCGGUAAGGUGAUAUGAACCGUUAUAACCGGCGAUUUCCGAAUGGGGAAACCCAGUGUGUUUCGACACACUAUCAUUAACUGAAUCCAUAGGUUAAUGAGGCGAACCGGGGGAACUGAAACAUCUAAGUACCCCGAGGAAAAGAAAUCAACCGAGAUUCCCCCAGUAGCGGCGAGCGAACGGGGAGCAGCCCAGAGCCUGAAUCAGUGUGUGUGUUAGUGGAAGCGUCUGGAAAGGCGCGCGAUACAGGGUGACAGCCCCGUACACAAAAAUGCACAUGCUGUGAGCUCGAUGAGUAGGGCGGGACACGUGGUAUCCUGUCUGAAUAUGGGGGGACCAUCCUCCAAGGCUAAAUACUCCUGACUGACCGAUAGUGAACCAGUACCGUGAGGGAAAGGCGAAAAGAACCCCGGCGAGGGGAGUGAAAAAGAACCUGAAACCGUGUACGUACAAGCAGUGGGAGCACGCUUAGGCGUGUGACUGCGUACCUUUUGUAUAAUGGGUCAGCGACUUAUAUUCUGUAGCAAGGUUAACCGAAUAGGGGAGCCGAAGGGAAACCGAGUCUUAACUGGGCGUUAAGUUGCAGGGUAUAGACCCGAAACCCGGUGAUCUAGCCAUGGGCAGGUUGAAGGUUGGGUAACACUAACUGGAGGACCGAACCGACUAAUGUUGAAAAAUUAGCGGAUGACUUGUGGCUGGGGGUGAAAGGCCAAUCAAACCGGGAGAUAGCUGGUUCUCCCCGAAAGCUAUUUAGGUAGCGCCUCGUGAAUUCAUCUCCGGGGGUAGAGCACUGUUUCGGCAAGGGGGUCAUCCCGACUUACCAACCCGAUGCAAACUGCGAAUACCGGAGAAUGUUAUCACGGGAGACACACGGCGGGUGCUAACGUCCGUCGUGAAGAGGGAAACAACCCAGACCGCCAGCUAAGGUCCCAAAGUCAUGGUUAAGUGGGAAACGAUGUGGGAAGGCCCAGACAGCCAGGAUGUUGGCUUAGAAGCAGCCAUCAUUUAAAGAAAGCGUAAUAGCUCACUGGUCGAGUCGGCCUGCGCGGAAGAUGUAACGGGGCUAAACCAUGCACCGAAGCUGCGGCAGCGACGCUGAUGCGUUGUUGGGUAGGGGAGCGUUCUGUAAGCCUGCGAAGGUGUGCUGUGAGGCAUGCUGGAGGUAUCAGAAGUGCGAAUGCUGACAUAAGUAACGAUAAAGCGGGUGAAAAGCCCGCUCGCCGGAAGACCAAGGGUUCCUGUCCAACGUUAAUCGGGGCAGGGUGAGUCGACCCCUAAGGCGAGGCCGAAAGGCGUAGUCGAUGGGAAACAGGUUAAUAUUCCUGUACUUGGUGUUACUGCGAAGGGGGGACGGAGAAGGCUAUGUUGGCCGGGCGACGGUUGUCCCGGUUUAAGCGUGUAGGCUGGUUUUCCAGGCAAAUCCGGAAAAUCAAGGCUGAGGCGUGAUGACGAGGCACUACGGUGCUGAAGCAACAAAUGCCCUGCUUCCAGGAAAAGCCUCUAAGCAUCAGGUAACAUCAAAUCGUACCCCAAACCGACACAGGUGGUCAGGUAGAGAAUACCAAGGCGCUUGAGAGAACUCGGGUGAAGGAACUAGGCAAAAUGGUGCCGUAACUUCGGGAGAAGGCACGCUGAUAUGUAGGUGAAGUCCCUCGCGGAUGGAGCUGAAAUCAGUCGAAGAUACCAGCUGGCUGCAACUGUUUAUUAAAAACACAGCACUGUGCAAACACGAAAGUGGACGUAUACGGUGUGACGCCUGCCCGGUGCCGGAAGGUUAAUUGAUGGGGUUAGCGCAAGCGAAGCUCUUGAUCGAAGCCCCGGUAAACGGCGGCCGUAACUAUAACGGUCCUAAGGUAGCGAAAUUCCUUGUCGGGUAAGUUCCGACCUGCACGAAUGGCGUAAUGAUGGCCAGGCUGUCUCCACCCGAGACUCAGUGAAAUUGAACUCGCUGUGAAGAUGCAGUGUACCCGCGGCAAGACGGAAAGACCCCGUGAACCUUUACUAUAGCUUGACACUGAACAUUGAGCCUUGAUGUGUAGGAUAGGUGGGAGGCUUUGAAGUGUGGACGCCAGUCUGCAUGGAGCCGACCUUGAAAUACCACCCUUUAAUGUUUGAUGUUCUAACGUUGACCCGUAAUCCGGGUUGCGGACAGUGUCUGGUGGGUAGUUUGACUGGGGCGGUCUCCUCCUAAAGAGUAACGGAGGAGCACGAAGGUUGGCUAAUCCUGGUCGGACAUCAGGAGGUUAGUGCAAUGGCAUAAGCCAGCUUGACUGCGAGCGUGACGGCGCGAGCAGGUGCGAAAGCAGGUCAUAGUGAUCCGGUGGUUCUGAAUGGAAGGGCCAUCGCUCAACGGAUAAAAGGUACUCCGGGGAUAACAGGCUGAUACCGCCCAAGAGUUCAUAUCGACGGCGGUGUUUGGCACCUCGAUGUCGGCUCAUCACAUCCUGGGGCUGAAGUAGGUCCCAAGGGUAUGGCUGUUCGCCAUUUAAAGUGGUACGCGAGCUGGGUUUAGAACGUCGUGAGACAGUUCGGUCCCUAUCUGCCGUGGGCGCUGGAGAACUGAGGGGGGCUGCUCCUAGUACGAGAGGACCGGAGUGGACGCAUCACUGGUGUUCGGGUUGUCAUGCCAAUGGCACUGCCCGGUAGCUAAAUGCGGAAGAGAUAAGUGCUGAAAGCAUCUAAGCACGAAACUUGCCCCGAGAUGAGUUCUCCCUGACUCCUUGAGAGUCCUGAAGGAACGUUGAAGACGACGACGUUGAUAGGCCGGGUGUGUAAGCGCAGCGAUGCGUUGAGCUAACCGGUACUAAUGAACCGUGAGGCUUAACCUU